AGUGAACGCUGGCGGUAGGCCUAACACAUGCAAGUCGAACGGCAGCACAGUAAGAGCUUGCUCUUACGGGUGGCGAGUGGCGGACGGGUGAGGAAUACAUCGGAAUCUACUUUUUCGUGGGGGAUAACGUAGGGAAACUUACGCUAAUACAGCAUACGACCUACGGGUGAAAGCAGGGGAUCUUCGGACCUUGCGCGAUUGAAUGAGCCGAUGUCGGAUUAGCUAGUUGGCGGGGUAAAGGCCCACCAAGGCGACGAUCCGUAGCUGGUCUGAGAGGCUGAUCAGCCACACUGGAACUGAGACACGGUCCAGACGCCUACGGGAGGCAGCAGUGGGGAAUAUUGGACAGUAGGCGCAAGCCUGAUCCAGCCAUACCGCGUGGGUGAAGAAGGCCUUCGGGUUGUAAAGCCCUUUUGUUGGGAAAGAAAAGCAGCAGGUUAAUACCCCGCUGUUCUGACGGUACCCAAAGAAUAAGCACCGGCUAACUUCGUG
rnacentral:rRNA from 1 species